GAUGAAGAACGUAGCGAAAUGCGAUAAGUAGUGUGAAUUGCAGAAUUCAGUGAAUCAUCGAAUCUUUGAACGCACAUUGCGCUCCUUGGUAUUCCGAGGAGCAUGCCUGUUUGAGUGUCAUUAAUAUAUCAACCUCUUCAGCUUAUGCUUGUUGAGUGUUGGAUGGUGGGGGUUUGCUGGUGUCUUAUGAAGUCAGCUCCUCUGAAAUGCAUUAGCGGAACAAUUUGUUGACCGUUCAUUGGUGUGAUAAAAAUAUCUACGCUAUUGACGUCAGUCAGUUCAGCUUCUAACAGUCCAUUGACUUGGACAAAUUUUUCAUUAAUGUGACCUCAAAUCAGGUAGGACUACCCGCUGAACUUAAGCAUAUCAAUAAGCGGAGGA
rnacentral:misc_RNA from 1 species